rnacentral:pre_miRNA from 1 species
AGGGCAAUAGUUGGGUCAAAUGGUGGUUCCAUUCCCAGCUUUCCCAGUAAUCUCCAUACUGCUUUCCAAAUUGGCCACACCAAUUUGCAGUCCCAUCAGCAAU